UACGUAGGGGGCGAGCGUUGUCCGGAAUUAUUGGGCGUAAAGGGCGCGUAGGCGGCCCGGUAAGUCAAAGGUGAAAUCCCUCGGCUCAACUGAGGAACUGCCUUUGAAACUGUCGGGCUUGAGGCCGGGAGGGGGUAGCGGAAUUCCCAGUGUAGCGGUGAAAUGCGUAGAUACUGGGAGGAACACCAGUGGCGAAGGCGGCUACCUGGACCGGUUCUGACGCUGAUGCGCGAAAGCGUGGGUAGCAAACAGG
rnacentral:rRNA from 1 species